AAUUUCAUUUCACCAGUAUAAAAGCACAAAAACCCUAAUUUGAUCUGUAUAAAAGCACACCAUUAGAUCUCACUGCCUCGUUCCUCACGGCCGCUGGCAUUCAUUCACUCAGAUCUCCUCAGAUGCUAAUCUCUUUGAUUAUCAGGUAAAUUUCUAAAUUCUACUUAUGUUCAUAAAUCAAACAUACGUCUUUGUUUUUCUGUUCCUUUUCUGAGGUUAAUUAAAUUAACUUCAUAUCCACAUUCGAUAGUCUUGUAUAAUUAUUCGAUCUCCAUUUUUAGAGAUGGCUGAAUUAGUGCAAGAAUUUUUGUACAUCUAAACAAAUGAUAUUCUAUUGCAUUAAUCCCUUCUCCUUUAUGUUAAUCACUCCACAUUUUUAAAAAAUUCUAUUGGAUUCUCUUGCAUUCGAUUUUUUAAGUAAAAUUAAUUUAUACCAAGAUAUUCUUUGUCGUGUUGAUUUUGUUUCUUGUUUUCUAAUUAAAAUUAAUUAUUAUCAAGAUGGUUUAGAGGAUAUAGAACAUGAACCAAGUGCUAGCCAAGAAAAUAGAAAUGAUAAUUUGGGUUGUUAUACUAGACUACAACACCUUCUGACGGAGCAAAUUUAUAAAACUGAGUGCACUAUAUUACCCUUUCUUCUAUCUGAAAGUAUUUCCAUUACAUAGUAAUUGAGAUUAUGUAUUUCUCCAAAGAGCAUUUAACUAAUCCAUUAGGCACAUGAACAUCAAUAGAUGAGCAUUAAGUAAUGACUAUAUCUUAAAUACGUGAAGAUCUUGCUCCAAUAGAUGUAGCUAUACUGCAUAUAUUUUGAAAUGUAUGUGUGAAGAAAAUAAAUGAUUUGAUAUCUUUCUUGUGUGUACUCUAUUUUUAUUUGACAUGCAGUUGACAUGUUAAAAUCUUUAUACGAAAUGAUGAUAUCCAAGAAGUUGAAAAUGAGGUCGUUGUUUAUGACAUUUCAAAUUCGCACAUUGGUUUCAGGUAAUAAGCUAAUGCAUUAUGUUUUCUAAGAACUCUUGAAAUGAUAUUUUAUUUGUACGAUUGUGCUAUGAUUUAAUUUAAACACAAGAUUUGACCUUUAUUGUUACAUAUUCGAUUGUGAAAUGUCGUAAAUGACAAAAAUAAAAUUAGCUUUUAAUUAAGUUUAUUUUCUUUUCUUCCCUAGAAAUUAUCAUAAUUCAAAUGGAGUACUGCGAGAAAGUAAAUAUAUAUCUCGUUUCAAAAAGUUUUGUUUUACACUCUGUUUCUGAGUUUUGAACAGAAAAGAAAAGAAUAGAAAAUUUAAAUUAGAACAGAAAAGAAAAGAAUAGAAAACUUGAAGUUUUCAUUUGUGUUGUUUCUGAGUUUUUAAUAAAAAAGGAUAGAAAAUUUAAAAUCAAGAACAUGAGUUCUAAUUUAAAAUUUAUUAUAUUAAAAGUUGAGAAUAAUAUGGGAAUUAUAAAAAUAUUACUUAUUCCAAUUUCUUUUCCGUCCAAAUCAGGCCAAUUUUGGACGGAAAAUUUUGACAGAAAAAGUGGCCAAGUUUUCUAUCCAUUUCUUUUCUUUUCUAUUUAUUAAAAAACUCAGAAACAUAAAAACUGGAAAGAAAACUUAAAUUUUCAGUCCAUUUCUUUUCUCUUCUGUCUAUUUUAAAACUCAGAAACAGAGCGUUAGUUUAUUCCUAAAUGAAAAUACUUUUGUUACUCUUAGAACUAUAAUUUCUCUGCUAGCCUAAAAUUUUCUCUUAAGCCAAACUAAGUAUGACGAGGGAAAUAAACAGAAAAGCAAGUGUUACAUAGUUGUACUACCAUCAUGCUCAAAGUGAGAAUUUUACUAAUUAAUGAAAAUAGUUAUUGUGCAAUACCUUCAACUUUGUUCCACAAAAUUUGAUAUACAUUUAAGCCUCCCGCUUUUAUCACUUUUUAGUAAUUUUACCUAAUGAGUAUCCUAUGAGAAAAUUAAAGAUCAAGUAAGAAGGUAUGAAUGUGUGAUGUUACUUUUUUUACUUCUUUUAAGUGCUGCCUUUGACGUAAAUAAUUAUUAUUUCCUCUACUAUUAUACUAUUACUCACUUUUACUUGCAUACAUGAAAAAGUUACUAACAUUAUAGUGCAUUUGGAGGUGCUAAUGACAUCAAAAAUCUGAUACAUUAUCUACAUUAUUUAAUAUAUAGUUCAUUCAUACAGAGUUACAGACAGAAAUCAUAAAGUUUUUAAUUUCAAUAAUUGAUAAAAGAAUAAAUGCACAAAAAUAUAUGCUUCCUAGCUUCCUAUUGUAAAAGGACUAAAUAUCAUACUUUUGAUGGGACAGGGUUGAUCGGAGCAGCUAGGGCAAUACCAGGGUCCUAAACCACGAUGGGUCGGACACAUAGCAUGUGAAAUCCCUUAUCACAUUUAUAACACAGAAGUGUCUCUUCAUCCAGCUAGGGCAAUACCAGGGUCCUAAUGCUCAUGUGAAAUCCCUUAUCACAUUUAUAACACAUGCAGUUCUUAUUGUAUCCAAUGCAUUUGGACUUGUACUAUCGUAAAGUGAAGCCAAUAGAUAGCGGAAAGAGAAAGCAAGAUCGAUAAAUCAAGGAGAAAUUAAGGUGCGUUAGUUAGAGAAUUGAAUGAAAAAAAUUAUUUUUAAAAAAUUAUACGUAUAUUUCUUCAAUUGUACGUGUGAAGGCCAAUUCGUAUAUAUGGCUAAGGUUGUAAAAUGAACCAAACGCUUCGGGUUUGAUUUGUAUUCGCUAGACUAAAAGUUCGAUUUGAGCUCGACUUAGAAUAUAAACGAUUCAAAUAUGAGCACAUUUUAAAGUUUGAUAAAUUACUCGAGCCUUAAUUUUCAAAUUACAAUUUUUUGUUGAUACUCAGAUCAUACUCGCUUGAAAACUUCAAACUACUCGGAUUCGAUUCGAGAUUAUGCUCGACUUGGUAGUUAAAUGAGUCUCAAUCAAACUUUAUUUCAGAUACUUGGCUCGACUCGAUUCAUUUACACCCUUAUAUAUGGCUUGCUAGAAAAAAUAUGAAUAAAAAAAUUAUGAAAUCAAGUUUAUUAUUUUAAUUUAUAUAGUUGAUUUAUUUCUUCUUAAAUAAAAUAUAAAUCAUACCAAUAACAAAACAGCUAAAUAAAUGAUGAGAAAAAGGAGCCCUAUUAGGGUUGGAUAUUAGAGUUUUUAUUUAGAAAUUUAGGAGUGCUUAAAAUUAUUUUAUUGGUUGAUUUUUAAUAAUAUUUUCAAUCGAAAUUUUUUAGUUAUUUUAUUGAUAUUUGUUGGGUCGUGAUAUUUCUCCUAUUGGACUGAAUGGAUUGGGCCUACUUAUUCAGUUAGUCCAUUGGGUCUUCACUAUUGGGUGUUGACAUUAUUGGGCCUAGUCACUUUAUUAUCUUUGUUAAGUCCUUCUAGUAUCGACCCAUCAUAUAUUUAAAUAUCUUCACUUGGGUUCUGAACCGGUGAUGAUGGCAAAGAUAUGGCUGACUGAUAUCUUACAUGGCAUUAAUAAGGAUUGGACAGUUGGCCAGCGGUGGACAGAGGGAAUGGGAUUAACAGGUGUCAAGAGGGUCAGUGGCAUGGUAAACCAGGUCCUGUAGUAUAUCAUAGCAAGGAGGUCUUCACAAAAAGGUACGUUCACAUAUACAUUCAAUUGAAUAUUAUUAUCUCUCUCAAUACACUAGACAUUACAUCCUCCAUUGUUAACCUUGUGAACACAUAUACUAAUUCUCACGCUUGAGUUAUCCCCCGACGGUCGAAGCCAUCAAGCUUGUGGUGUUUAUCGUGUUUACUGUACAGGAUCAGGGCGUCUUACGUGAUUGAGACGUGGCAGCAAAUCCUGACGUUAACAAUAUUGAAUUUUAAUACAAGUAACAUUUGGAUAUUAAUAUUGUACAUGGUAAACUAAUUUAUAGGUAAUAGAUUUUCUAAUAAUUUUGGAUUCUAGAUAAUAUGAAAAAAUAAAAAUAAAAAAGAAGAAAUUUAUUAGAUUAUUAUAUGUUUUAUUAAUUAUUUUUUAUUGUAUUGAUAGGAGAAGUUUAAAAGUAUUUAAUAGAUAAGCAGGCAAUUUGACGAACAAAUCUGUCUCAAAUAAGCUUGUUUCAUCUCAAAUAAUGAUAUUUGUGAUGGACAAAAUCUGUUGCCACUGCCGUCGCAUUAGGUCCCAUCACAAAUGAUAUCCG
rnacentral:lncRNA from 1 species